rnacentral:rRNA from 1 species
UACGAAGGGGGCUAGCGUUGCUCGGAAUCACUGGGCGUAAAGGGUGCGUAGGCGGGUCUUUAAGUCAGGGGUGAAAUCCCGGGGCUCAACCCCGGAACUGCCUUUGAUACUGGGUAUCUCGAGUCCGGAAGAGGCGAGUGGAAUUCCUGGUGUAGCGGUGAAAUGCACAGAUAUCAGGAGGAACACCAAUGGCGAAGGCAGCUCGCUGGGACGGUACUGACGCUGAGACGCGAAAGCGUGGGGAGCAAACAGG